rnacentral:rRNA from 1 species
GACGAACGCUGGCGGCGUGCUUAACACAUGCAAGUCGAACGGAAAGACCCUGCUUUUGUGGGGUGCUCGAGUGGCGAACGGGUGAGUAACACGUGAGUAACCUGCCCUUGACUUUGGGAUAACUUCAGGAAACUGGGGCUAAUACCGGAUAGGAGCUCCUGCUGCAUGGGGGGGGUUGGAAAGUUUCGGCGGUUGGGGAUGGACUCGCGGCUUAUCAGCUUGUUGGUGGGGUAGUGGCUUACCAAGGCUUUGACGGGUAGCCGGCCUGAGAGGGUGACCGGCCACAUUGGGACUGAGAUACGGCCCAGACUCCUACGGGUGGCAGCAGUGGGGAAUAUUGCACAAUGGGCGGAAGCCUGAUGCAGCAACGCCGCGUGCGGGAUGACGGCCUUCGGGUUGUAAACCGCUUUCGCCUGUGACGAAGCGUGAGUGACGGUAAUGGGUAAAGAAGCACCGGCUAACUACGUG